CAGUCGCCGCGGGAAUACGAAGGGGGCUAGCGUUACUCGGAAUUACUGGGCGUAAAGGGCGCGUAGGCGGCACGAUUAGUCAGGCGUGAAAUUCCUGGGCUCAACCUGGGGACUGCGCUUGAUACGGUCGAGCUAGAGGAUGGAAGAGGGUCGUGGAAUUCCCAGUGUAGAGGUGAAAUUCGUAGAUAUUGGGAAGAACACCGGUGGCGAAGGCGGCGACCUGGACCAUUACUGACGCUGAGGCGCGAAAGCUAGGGGAGCAAACAGGAUUAGAUACCCGUGUAGUCCCUGUCUCUUAUAA
rnacentral:rRNA from 1 species